UUCCUCAAGAAGUGGAAAAUUCAUGGAUA
rnacentral:piRNA from 1 species